rnacentral:rRNA from 1 species
GAUGAACGCUGGCGGCGUGCCUAAUACAUGCCAGUCGAGCGAACAGACGAGGAGCUUGCUCCUCUGACGUUAGCGGCGGUCGGGUGAGUAACACGUGGAUAACCUACCUAUAAGACUGGGAUAACUUCGGGAAACCGGAGCUAAUACCGGAUAAUAUAUUGAACCGCAUGGUUCAAUAGUGAAAGACGGUUUUGCUGUCACUUAUAGAUGGAUCCGCGCCGCAUUAGCUAGUUGGUAAGGUAACGGCUUACCAAGGCAACGAUGCGUAGCCGACCUGAGAGGGUGAUCGGCCACACUGGAACUGAGACACGGUCCAGACUCCUACGGGAGGCAGCAGUAGGGAAUCUUCCGCAAUGGGCGAAAGCCUGACGGAGCAACGCCGCGUGAGUGAUGAAGGUCUUCGGAUCGUAAAACUCUGUUAUUAGGGAAGAACAAAUGUGUAAGUAACUAUGCACGUCUUGACGGUACCUAAUCAGAAAGCCACGGCUAACUACGUG